UACAGAGGGUGCGAGCGUUAAUCGGAAUUACUGGGCGUAAAGCGUGUGCAGGCGGGCUAGCAAGUGGUGCAUGAAAGCUCCCGGCUCAACCGGGAAGGGUUAUGCCAGACUGCUAGUCUUGAGUGCGAGAGAGGAGCGUGGAAUUCCGGGUGUAGUGGUGAAAUGCGUAGAGAUCCGGAGGAACCCCAGAGGCGAAGGCGGCGCUCUGGCUCGCAACUGACGCUCAGACACGACAGCAUGGGGAGCGAACGGG
rnacentral:rRNA from 1 species